GACGAACGCUGGCGGCGUGCUUAACACAUGCAAGUCGAACGGAAAGGCCCUGCUUUUGUGGGGUGCUCGAGUGGCGAACGGGUGAGUAACACGUGAGUAACCUGCCCUUGACUUUGGGAUAACUUCAGGAAACUGGGGCUAAUACCGGAUAGGAGCUCCUGCUGCAUGGUGGGGGUUGGAAAGUUUCGGCGGUUGGGGAUGGACUCGCGGCUUAUCAGCUUGUUGGUGGGGUAGUGGCUUACCAAGGCUUUGACGGGUAGCCGGCCUGAGAGGGUGACCGGCCACAUUGGUACUGAAAUACGGCCCAGACUCCUACGGGAGGCAGCAGUGGGGAAUAUUGCACAAUGGGCGGAAGCCUGAUGCAGCAACGCCGCGUGCGGGAUGACGGCCUUCGGGUUGUAAACCGCUUUCGCCUGUGACGAAGCGUGAGUGACGGUAAUGGGUAAAGAAGCACCGGCUAACUACGUG
rnacentral:rRNA from 1 species